rnacentral:rRNA from 1 species
CGCGUAGGCGGCUUGGCAAGUCAGAUGUGAAAUCCCCGAGCUUAACUUGGGAAUUGCAUCUGAAACUGUUGAGCUUGAGUCCUGGAGGGGAUAGUGGAAUUCCCAGUGUAGCGGUGAAAUGCGUAGAUAUUGGGAGGAACACCUGUAGCGAAGGCGGCUAUCUGGACAGUGACUGACGCUGAGGCGCGAAAGCUAGGGGAGCGAACG